UUUACAUAUAGGAUUUUACGAAUCUCAUGGGCCACUCAUUUUCAAUCAGAACCUUCAACUUACGAGAUUUUACGAAUCUUGGAGUUUGCUGAUUUACGAUCACAACCUUCUCCUUACGGGAUUUUACGGAUCUCACAGUCUGCCGAUUUACGAUCACAACUUUCUACUUUCGGGAUUUUACAAAUCUCGCGAUUCAUUGAUUUACGAUCAUGACCUUUUACUGACGAGACUUUACAAAUCUCGUAGUCUGCUGAUUUACG
rnacentral:lncRNA from 1 species